CAUAUAUAUAUAUAUAUAUGUAUGUAUAUAUAUAUGACUAUUUAGAGAGAUACAGAAAAAAAGAGAAAGUCCGGAACAUGUCCAAAUUUUGAAAGAGCAAACUUUUAAACUAAAUUAUACCUCUCUAAAAUAAGAAUACCAAUAUUACUUGUACUAAUCAGUAAGCCCCUGGAGAACAAAGAUUGAGUUUUAAUCACUUUUAUAUCUUUGCAAAACCUAUCAGAGCACUUUGCAUGCAGUAUGUGCUCCAUAAAUGCUUAUCUGAUUUGGCUUGUUAAUUUGCAAAGUCUGUAUAAUGUUAAAUUGGGGGAGUAUAGAAAGGAAGAGAUGGCUUCUUUGAUUUUUUUUUCAUGCAUCUUUAAUAUUUUAAUGAAUAGAGCAACUGGGAAUAUGCUUAAAUGCUUUAAGCAGUCUUAAUCUUUUGUGAUACCCAUCCAAGGGUAAAAAAUGCAAGUUUUUUACAUAUACAAAUUGAGUCAACUAAACUUCAAUCUUUGCUUUUAUAGAUGCAGAUGCAUAAGAAAACCUUGGGAAAAUCAGUAUCUGUCUGUUUUCUGUCUAGUUAAUUUUGUUCUUCCCAAAAGGUCCAUUAAGAUCCUUCGAAAUAGAAUCAGAACUUUAUGUCUUUUUUUUUUUUUUUUUUUUUUGGUAUACCUCACAAUGUUCAUUCUGAUCACCCGCCCAAUAGAACCUUGGACUCUGUCAUUGAGAGUCAGGUGCUGAUAGAUUUAAAUUCAUCUUUUCUGGAACCAGGCCUCCAUGCCUCUUCCUGACCAUUUCCACAUCAUGACAACAUUCAAGUAUCUCUUCCCUGCCCCACUCUCUUUUACAUGUAGUUUUCUUCCAUUGCCUGGUACAUGAGCAUGAGAAAUGACUUCUAAAUGAACAAGCUGGGAGAUAUAUAGUGUAAUGAAGACUACGUUGGGUUCAAUUACCAUCACAGUAUCAUAGAUUUAGCAUGAAUAGAAAGGUUAGUUGUUAUACACUAUUUUACAGAUAAUGAAACUGAGGCCUAAGGUAAGAAAUGACUGUUGCUGUUCGGUCAAUUCUGUUUUGUCCAACUCUUUGUGACCCCAUUUUGGGAUUUUUCUUGGCAAAGAUACAGUAGUAGCUUACCAUUUCCUUCUCCAACUCAUUUUACAGAUGAGAUAAUAGAAGCAAAUAGGGUUAAGUGACUUGUUCAUAGUCAUAUAGCUAGUAAAUAUCUGAGGCCAGAUUUGAACUCAAGAAGCAGAAUCUUCCUGACUCCAGACCUGGCCCUCUAGCCACCAUGAGAUCUAAAGGCUUAAGACAUGAAGUGCCCAAGAACU